rnacentral:ncRNA from 2 species
UUCAAUGCGAUGAACGAGAGAGUAAUGAAUAGAGGGACCGCCUAAGCGAGGAUCCGGUGGUGGAAAGGAUCCCGGCACUCUGAUCAUGAAGGUAGCUCGUGAGCAGGAGUCCUGAAUUAAGUAGGGGUUCCCGGUUCAUUUACCGUUAUCAAAUGGCAAAGAGGGAGUGGCAGUGGCCACUUCAAAUUAGGUGGUACCGCGAGAAGACUCGUCCUAUGU